AAAGCACCAGUUCCAUUGGCAGCAAAACAGACCAAGAGCAUAAUACUACCACCACCAUGCUUGACGAACUGUCUUCCAGAAGGUCUUAUCUUUGUCCAUGUGAUGUCAGAUGAAACAAAAACUCGAGACAGCCAUGACGUUAUGUCCUUCACAAGUAAAGAAGUCGAUGCCAACAAUUACUGCUACUGUAUCGUGGCUGAAGCUGCAAAACAAACAAACCAAAAAAACGAAACGUUUUGUCUGAUGAGACAAAAAAAGAAAAAGGGAGACGACCCGGAUAAAAGGACAGUCAAGGAUCAACAUUGGCCCGGCUCUCACUCGCUAGCGUGAGCUCAAAGCCGAGGGGGGAUUUCCGACAGAUACUGCCUUAGCUUUGUUCCUGCUUUACUGGUCAUCAGCAGCAGCGCCCAAAGGCUCCUCAAAGGAACAUGUGGGGCAAAGGUCAAGUGUCUGUGUUGCUAUGGUGACGACUGCAGUCCCU